UACGGGGGGUGCAAGCGUUGUUCGGAAUUAUUGGGCGUAAAGAGCGUGUAGGCGGUUUGUUUAGUCUGAUGUGAAAGCCCUGGGCUCAACCCAGGAAGUGCAUUGGAUACUGGCAGACUUGAAUACGGGAGAGGGUAGUGGAAUUCCUAGUGUAGGAGUGAAAUCCGUAGAUAUUAGGAGGAACACCGGUGGCGAAGGCGGCUACCUGGACCGAUAUUGACGCUGAGACGCGAAAGCGUGGGUAGCAAACAGG
rnacentral:rRNA from 1 species